GCCCAUGUGGCUCAGUGGAUAGAGCUUCGGUCUUUGGCUGAAGGGUCCCGGGUUCGAGUCCGGUCAAGGGCA
rfam:Myotis lucifugus cont2.58792, whole genome shotgun sequence.